rnacentral:lncRNA from 1 species
UCGUGAUAACAUUAGCACAAGAAAACAAACUACCACCUCUUUUGGUACUGUAGAAACUUGAAUUAUAUAUAUUGGUGUUGGGCUACUGUAUUCACACUUUUCCAUGGCUAGUACCCCCCCGAUACUAACCAUAGUUUCAUCAAAACAAGCAACCAACUCAACAAAAAACAGAAUCUAUCAAAAACAGACCAGUCUGUAGCAAUCUGUAUACUUCGUAUACUUCUGGUACCUCCAAAAUUCUAAAAAAUUAUGACUGCCUAGGAAAAAG